rnacentral:rRNA from 1 species
UCCCGGCGGUCCAAGUUGCAUCCCAUUAUUGGGUCUAAAACAUCCGUAGCUCGUUUAUUAAGUCUCUUGUGAAAUCUCGUGUCUCAAGCGCGAGGCGAGCAAGAGAUACUGGUUGACUAGAGAUCGGUAGACGUAAGGAGUACGCUGGAGGUAGUGGUUAAAUACGUUAAUCUUUGGUGGACUAACAAUUUAGCGAAGGCACCUUACGAGAACGAGUCUGACAGUGAGGGAUGAAGGCUAGGGGC